rnacentral:rRNA from 1 species
AUUGAACGCUGGCGGCAGGCCUAACACAUGCAAGUCGAGCGGCGACUCCGGUACUACCGGCGCACGCGGGUGUCGUGCGUCGGACUCUGCCCGGAAGUAUGGGAUACCGCCCUGUCGGGGGGGCUAAUGCAGCAUACGUCAUACUAGUACAGGAGACGGCCCUCCGGACAUAUCGCUGUUGCUUCAGCCCAUGUCGGAUUAGCUAGUUGGUGGGGUAAUGGCCUACCAAGGCGACGAUCCGUAGCUGGUCUGAGAGGAUGAUCAGCCACACUGGAACUGAGACACGGUCCAGACUCCUACGGGAGGCAGCAGUGGGGAAUAUUGGACAAUGGGCGAAAGCCUGAUCCAGCCAUGCCGCGUGUGUGAAGAAGGCCUUCGGGUUGUAAAGCCCUUUUGUCGGGGAGGAAGGGCAGCAGCCUAAUACGUCGCGGAAUUGACGUUACCCGAAGAAUAAGCACCGGCUAACUCCGUG